ACUAACCAGGAUUCCCCUAGUAACGGCGAGUGAACCGGGAAAAGCCCAACUUGAAAAUCUCCAGCCUUCGGCUGGCGAAUUGUAGUCUAUAGAGGCGUCCUCUGUGGCGAACAGGUCCCAAGUGCCUUGGAAAGGGACGUCAGCAGAGGGUGAGAACCCCGUCGGGCCGGUGCAGGUCACUUCACGAGGCGCUUUCGCAGAGUCGGGUUGUUUGGGAAUGCAGCCCUAAGCAGGUGGUAAAUCCCAUCUAAGGCUAAAUACUGGCGGGAGACCGAUAGCGAACAAGUACCGUGAGGGAAAGAUGAAAAGAACUUUGAAAAGAGAGUUAAACAGUACUUGAAAUUGUUGAGAGGGAAGAGAUUGGAAGUCGCGGGUGCGCCCAGGCUUAUGCACGCCUCACCGCGUGCUGUAUGUGCUGGGCGCUGGUCAGCAUCGAUUGGCAGGCUCGGAGAAAAGCGGAGGUUGAUACUCCGUCUAUGCGAGCUCCGCCGAUCGAGGUCUCAAGCGCGCGCUUUGGGUCCUUCGGAAACUGCGCGCUCAGGAUGCUGGCGGAAGGCUUCCAAUCUACCCGUCUUGAAACACGGACCAAGGAGUCUAACAUGUAUGCGAGUUGGUGGGUGAUAAACCCAUGAAGCGCAAGUAACCUGACUGGUGGGAGGGCCCUGUGCCCGCACCAUCGACCGACCAUGAUCUUCUGUGAAAGGUUUGAGUACGAGCAUACCUGUUGGGACCCGAAAGAUGGUGAACUAUGCCUGAGCAGGGCGAAGCCAGAGGAAACUCUGGUGGAGGCUCGUAGAUGUGCUGACGUGCAAAUCGCUU
rnacentral:rRNA from 1 species